GAUGAACGCUGGCGGCGUGCCUAAUACAUGCAAGUCGAGCGAACAGACGAGGAGCUUGCUCCUCUGACGUUAGCGGCGGACGGGUGAGUAACACGUGGAUAACCUUCCUAUAAGACUGGGAUAACUUCGGGAAACCGGAGCUAAUACCGGAUAAUAUAUUGAACCGCAUGGUUCAAUAGUGAAAGACGGUUUUGCUGUCACUUAUAGAUGGAUCCGCGCCGCAUUAGCUAGUUGGUAAGGUAACGGCUUACCAAGGCAACGAUGCGUAGCCGACCUGAGAGGGUGAUCCGCCACACUGGAACUGAGACACGGUCCAGACUCCUACGGGAGGCAGCAGUAGGGAAUCUUCCGCAAUGGGCGAAAGCCUGACGGAGCAACGCCGCGUGAGUGAUGAAGGUCUUCGGAUCGUAAAACUCUGUUAUUAGGGAAGAACAAAUGUGUAAGUAACUAUGCACGUCUUGACGGUACCUAAUCAGAAAGCCACGGCUAACUACGUG
rnacentral:rRNA from 1 species